rnacentral:tRNA from 1 species
GGGUACAGCUCAGUGGUAGAGCACAUGCUUAGCAUGCAUGAGGUCGUGGGUUCAAUCCCCAGUACCUCCA